GCUCUCAGGACAGAUAGCUCAGUUGGUAGAGCAUGAGACUCAAAGGGUGAGAUCUCUGGGUUGGGGGGUUCGAGCCCCACAUUGGGCA